CUAUUACACAGACUUACCAUUUUUUUUUACAUGCAGAAUACGGUUUUACUCAUGAGACAUCACUGAACACAAAUAUGUGUUUUAUAGCAGUAAAAUGUAUAAGAGUGAUGAUAUAAUCAAAGUGUAAAAAAACGAAUAUGAACGCUAACUUUGGCCAGAGUUUGUGACCAAGUGGCUACUACCAAAUACUGAAUAUACCCCAUUUUGAAUACUCUGGGCAGUCUUUUACAAAAUGGUAUGCC